CUACGCCCGGGCCCCGCCGCUCUUCAUCCACCCCGCGGUCCACGGGGUGAAAAGCGCUCAAUCAUCGUGGACUCUUUGAAAAACGCCGCGUUCCGUUGGUGGCUCACGUAUGUAUGAAACGGGAAUCAAGAAUACCGACGUUGGGAUAAUGGGAUAAUGACAAUAACGAUAAUGGCAAUGUCAAUGAUGGAAUGGGACAUCAGCAUUCGAACAUAGUUAUAUAUCUUUGCACCAGCACCAGCAUAAAACAUCAGCAUCAGCAUCAGCAUCGCCUUGACAGCCUGAGUGAGG
rnacentral:sRNA from 2 species